rnacentral:rRNA from 1 species
CAUGAAACCGGCGCACGGGUGCGUAACACGUAUGCAACCUACCUUUAACUGGGGUAUAGCUCAGAGAAAUCUGAAUUAAUCCCCCAUAAGACUACGACAUGGCAUCAUGAUGUAGUUAAAGCUCCGGCGGUUAAGGAUGGGCAUGCGGUACAUUAGCUAGUUGGUGAGGUAAUGGCUCACCAAGGCUACGAUGUAUAGGGGGUCUGAGAGGAUGAUCCCCCACACUGGUACUGAGACACGGACCAGACUCC